rnacentral:lncRNA from 1 species
GACAGGGUUUCAUCAUGUUGACCAGGAUGGUCUUGAUCUCUUGACCACGUGAUCCACCUGCCUCGGCCUCCCAAAGUGCUGGGAUUACAGGCGUGAGCCACUGUGCCUGGCCCAUAAGUGUUCUUAAUCAUAGAACUGAUGCAUAUUGGUAUUUAAAAUUGUAAUGUCUGCAGUUACCAUCCUCAAAUACUAAAGUGGUUGAUACUCAGCAAUGAAAGCUGCAUGUGAGUGUGGGAGAGAGAAGGAGGUUCCGGCAGAUUGACAAAUGGAUCCAUGGUUCUGAGAAGGAGCAGGAUGUCAGGUGCACAUUUGUCACCAGAGAAUACUACCAGAAAACCACAUAUUUUUUCUGCAAUAAAUGCUGGAAAGGAAAAAGAAAUGCUGAAAAUAACGAAGUAAUUCCAAUUCUGCUGAUAAAUACCUGGAAAUGCACUAGGUAAAAAUGACAAGAGCAUAACACAUUUAUUC